rnacentral:rRNA from 1 species
CGUGGGAACAUACACAGCACAGGGGGAUAACCAUUGGAAACGAUGGCUAAUACCGCAUACGCCCUAUUGGGGAAAGAUUUAUCGGUGUUGGAUUGGCCCGCGUUAGAUUAGCUAGUUGGUGGGGUAAUGGCUCACCAAGGCGACGAUUUAUAGCUGGUUUGAGAGGAUGAUCAGCAACACUGGAACUGAGACACGGUCCAGACUCCUACGGGAGGCAGCAGUCGGGAAUAUUGUGCAAUGGGGGCAACCCUGACACAGCCAUGCCGCGUGAGUGAAGAAGGCCUUAGGGUUGUAAAGCUCUUUCAGAUGUGAGGAUGAUGACGAUAGCAUCAGAAGAAGCUCCGGCUAACUUCGUGCCAGCAGCCGCGGUAAUACGAAGGGAGCUAGCGUCGUUCGGAAUUACUGGGCGUAAAGGGCGUGUACGCCGAUUAUC